UACAGAGGAGCCAAGCGUUGUCCGGAUUGACUGGGCGUAAAGCGCACGUAGGCGGCUUUGCAAGUUAGAGGUGAAAGCCCGGGGCUCAACUCCGGAAUUGCCUUUAAAACUGCAUCGCUAGAAUUGUGGAGAGGUAAGUGGAAUUCCGAGUGUAGAGGUGAAAUUCGUAGAUAUUCGGAAGAACACCAGUGGCGAAGGCGACUUACUGGACACAUAUUGACGCUGAGGUGCGAAAGCGUGGGGAGCAAACAGG
rnacentral:rRNA from 1 species